UCAAGUUUGGUGGCUGCGUCGAACUCAUUAAUUUUAUUUCCGGAAUUAAGAUAUUCAUCCAGCCAAGCAAAAUAUUCAACUAAGGCACAUCCAUCGCGAAUAUGACAUUCCUUCAUUCCUUUUAAUUCAGCAUCGUUCUUAAUGCCUUUGGCCUGUGAAAUAGGACUCAAUAUAGGCAUCACUUUAGUUUCUCCAAAAGAAGUUGCUAUACACCAAGAAGUUUUGCUUGAAAUGCCUAUUCUAGUCAAAUUAGAGUUCUUGGCGUCAGAAAACACUCUAUCAUAUGGAAGAAUUUUUACAAAGCCAUCGAGGUGCUUAGAUACUUCGGGAGUAACCUUGCGUUCGUCCACAUACAAGAAUGCUUCAUCAAGUGUAACUAAUGAGUAUGCAAAAAAAACAGGAUUGUAUGGGACAUCAGCUCCGCGUAAAUUGUAAAGCCAUGCCACUUCAUCCAACAUCGAAACAACAAAUGCCUCAAUUUUCUGUUCCUUCAUGGCUUCACGAAGGUUAUGAAGUUUUUCAUCAACGCCCAAGCCUGCAUAUUUGAUUUCUUGUACGAUCAGUUUUUCGAGUGGUUCUUUAGGGCGAGAAGCCCCCCAAACGAUAUCAACCAAGUUAUCAUGAUCACCGACUAAAACAGCACCACUUUUGAGAAAUAGGGACUCACGAAGCGCUUUGGCUGCGGGAAAAGUAAUGAGACUAGAGUCAAUUCCAACCUUUUCAUUACACUUCGUCAUUUGGGUACAGUAUUCUUCCCACGUGGGUACACCGGUAAAUCCCUGCUUCAUUAGCGUCCAAUUUUCAUCAAGCUGUUGAGAUGCUUGAUUGAAAUAUCGCCCAUCGGUAAAAAGAGCUGCUGAUGUUUCACCAAUAACAGCACAACCAGCUGAACCAUCAAAUCUAGGUACAGUUAGAAAAAUAUAAAAGUUUCAAAGAUAAUGAACAAACAAUUUUGAUACAAUACUAAUACGGCGGAUUACGAAACUAUAGCUUUACUAAUAUUAAAACACAUACCCACUAAUAAAAGCUCGUCUUGCAUCAGCAUCGCAAGUAUACUCCGACGAAUGGGCCUAUAUAAUUGUUAAUAUUCAGUUCAGCGGGUUCUUUAUUUCACUUGAGAUUUAUGUAAGUUAGCAUAUUAAUUUAUCUACUUACGUCUUCAGAAGGAACCACAUAAAGCGUGUAACCGCGCUCUUUCAUUAAUUCGCGCAACUUAUUAAGGCGAUUACCAGUAUGUACAACCAUUAUAACAAUGUUAGCUAUUUAAUUUCGACAAAUUCUACAGCCGGAGCAAUAAUAAUCGAGUCUGUCAGUAAUUAAAACUCCUAAUCUAAGUGUCAAAUUUAAAA